AUUGAACGCUGGCGGCAGGCCUAACACAUGCAAGUCGAGCGAGCGGCGGACGGGUGAGUAAUGCCUGGGAAUUGCCCAGUCGAGGGGGAUAACAGUUGAAAACUACUGCUAAUACCGCAUACGAUUGGAUUGCCCAGGUGGGAUUAGCGUGUGGGUGAGGUAAUGGGUCACCAAGGCGACGAUCCCUAUCUGGUCUGAGAGGAUGAUCAGCCACACGGGAACGGAGACACGGUCCAGACUCCUACGGGAGGCAGCAGUGUGGAAUAUUGCACAAUGGGGGAAACCCUGAUGUAGCCAUGCCGCGUGUGUGAAGAAGGCCUUCGGGUUUUAAAUCACUUUCAGCGAGGAGGCGUUACUCGCAGAAGAAGCACCGGCUAACUCCGUGCCAGCAGCCGCGGUAAUUC
rnacentral:rRNA from 1 species